CUGCACAGACCCCUCUUGUUGGGAGACAAGACAGGGCUCUUUCUCUCCCGUGACCUCAACCUCAUCUCCAAUGCUGGGGAAGAGAGACACUGAAAUUCUUCCUGUGACUGAACACAUGAGAAUGUGACAGUUAUUUGGGGUAACAGGUUUCCUGUGGGUCCUGUGUUCAACAAGGACUAUUGCGUGAAGAGUAUGCAUUCGUUCCAGUGUCAGGGGAGAGGAAAAGAAUGAGGAGGAGAGUCCCAUGUGGAUGUCGGUGUGAUGAUUAGGAUGCCUGAUGCUUCUGAAACAAGAAUACACUUUACAAAAAUGCCCAGUCGAAAACACUUUUUACUUUCUAUCUUGUGCUAAGAGUGCCUUUUUGGAUCCCACGGCUUCAUAAUGUACUCCCAGGGAGGAAGAGGCUACAGCACUGGUGCGCUCCCAGGAAUAACACAUACAGGAAAACAAUGCAGGCAAGAUACGUUUUUUUUUGAAGAGUACUCUGAAGAUCUCUGCAUUAGAAUCACCUGUGAUACUUGUGUAACAUGAAGAUUCUUGGCUGCUUUACAGCUACAGAAUUAAAGAGUUCCCUAAAAUUUGAAAACCAGUGAUCAAGAUACCAAGCUAUUUUGUUUGUUUGUUUGUUUGUUUCAGAACAUCUUCCCUAAUGUCCAGUGCAGUGAUUCAGGCCUGUAAUCCCAGCACUCUAA